rnacentral:lncRNA from 7 species
ACACGGUGUCACUUUGUGGGCCACCCCAUACAUCUCCUGAGGUCACCCCAAAGUUCCCCCAGUCGCCCCCAAAUAUACCCAAAGUUCCCCCAAGUCACCUCAAAUAUACUCUAAAGUCACUCCUGAAUAUCCCCCAAAGUCCCCCCCAAGUUCCCCAAAGUUCCCUAUAAUCAUCCCCAAAUGUCCCCCAAAGUCACCCCCAAAUAUUCCCCAAAUGUCCCCCCAAAGUCACCCCAAAGUCACCCCAAACAUCAUCCCACGUUGUCACCCAAAAUGUCCCCCAGACUCACCUCAAAGGUCCCACAGGGUCACCCCAAAUUCCACCCACCCCAAAGUCGCCCCACACAUCCCCCAAUCCCCCCCAGAGUCACUCUAUGGGGUCACCCCAAAUUCCACCCACCCCAAAGUCGCCCCACACAUCCCCCAAAUCCCCCCCAGAGUCACUCUAUGGGUCACCCCAAAUUCCACCCAUCCCAAGUCGCCCCACACAUCCCCCAAAUCCCCCCCAGAGUCACUCUAUGGGGUCACCCCAAAUUCCACCUACCCCAAAGUCGCCCCACACAUCCCCAAAUCCCCUCCCAGAGUCACUCUAUGGGUCACCCCAAAUUCCACCCACCCCAAAGUCGCCCCACACAUCCCCCAAAUCCCCCCCAGAGUCACUCUAUGGGUCACCCCAAAUUCCACCCACCCCAAAGUCGCCCCACACAUCCCCCAAAUCCCCCCAGAGUCACUCUAUGGGUCACCCCAAAUUCCACCCACCCCAAAGUCACCCCACACAUCCCCCAAAUCCCCCCCCAGAGUCACUCUAUGGGGUCACCCCAAAUUCCACCCACCCCAAAGUCGCCCCACACAUCCCCCAAAUCCCCCCCAGAGUCACUCUAUGGGGUCACCCCAAAUUCCACCCACCCCAAAGUCGCCCCACACAUCCCCCAAAUCCCCUCCCAGAGUCACUCUAUGGGUCACCCCAAAUUCCACCCACCCCAAAGUCGCCCCACACAUCCCCCAAAUCCCCCCCAGAGUCACUCUAUGGGGUCACCCCAAAUUCCACCCACCCCAAAGUCACCCCACACAUCCCCCAAAUCCCCCCCCAGAGUCACUCUAUGGGGUCACCCCAAAUUCCACCACCCCAAAGUCGCCCCACACAUCCCCCAAAUCCCCCCCAGAGUCACUCUAUGGGGUCACCCCAAAUUCCACCCACCCCAAAGUCGCCCCACACAUCCCCCAAAUCCCCUCCCAGAGUCACUCUAUGGGGUCACCCCAAAUUCCACCCACCCCAAAGUCGCCCCACACAUCCCCCAAAUCCCCCCAGAGUCACUCUAUGGGUCACCCCAAAUUCCACCCACCCCAAAGUCACCCCACACAUCCCCCAAAUCCCCCCCAGAGUCACUCUAUGGGGUCACCCCAAAUUCCACCCCUAACAUCACCCUAAAUUUACCCUAAACGCCACCUCAUGCGGUCACCCUGAAUUCCAUCCCCCUAAACUCACCCCAAAUAUCACCCCACGGGGUCACCCCAAAUUCCACCGCCCCUGGUGUGACCCCAAAUACCCCAAGACCACCCCCAUUGCGCCCCCCCCCAGAUGCAGGACGCCAUGGGCCACGAGCUGCCCUGGAUUUACUUCGUCAGCCUCGUCAUCUUCGGCUCCUUCUUCGUCCUCAACUUGGUGCUGGGGGUGCUGAGCGGGUGAGCGUGUCGUUAGCGUGUCGUUAGCGUGUCCUUAGCAUGUCGUUAGCGUGUUCCACACGUGCCCAUCCCCUCAGGGAGUUCUCCAAGGAGCGUGAGAAGGCCAAAGCACGCGGUGACUUCCAGAAGCUGCGGGAGAAGCAGCAGCUGGAGGAGGACCUGCGGGGCUAUAUGGACUGGAUCACACAGGCUGAGGACCUGGAGGGGGACGAGGAUGAGCACGAGAAGCACCGUAUGUCACCGAGGCGGGGGGGGAAAUAUGUCCCCCCCCCCUGCCCCCUUCCUUUUGUCACCUUCUCGUCCCCUUCCCUGCAGGCCUGACCACCGAGGAGCUGAUGGGGAAGAGAAAGCCUCGCCUCAAGUGGCUGCGGCACGCCAGCCACUCCACCGACACCCACGGUAAGGAAACAACAAAAACAAGGGUACACCCCCGAAAAUCGGGGUACGCCCCCAGCUUGGGGCUGACCCGCCCACCUUUGUCCCAUUGUGGGGGGGUGCUGAUCUUGUUCCCCCCCCCCCCCCCCCCCCACUUCACAGCCAGCCUCCCCGGCAGCGAGACCACGUCGGUGAACACCGAGACGGCGGGUGAGGAGGAGGCGCAGCCCAACGCCUGCGACCGCUGCCUGUGAGUGCCACUCUGGGGUCCCCAGGAGCCCCCAGACCCUCUGCAGCCCCCCCCCAGUGCUCCCUGCUGUGCCUAUAGCCCUCCCCAGUGCUCCCCGUAGCCCGCGUAGCUCCCCAGUAUCAAGCUUGGGACCCCCAUGGACCCCUGUAUUUAUCUUUGGAUACCUCAACAGCUCUUCCGGGACCUCAGCAUUGACCCCGAGAGCCCCUGUAGUUCCUUAUCCCGCACCCCAGACCCUAAAAGUGACCUUAAGUCUUCUCUAUAAUUCCUUAUAGACCUCCCAAGACCCCAAAUUGAGCCUAGAAUCCCCCCAUAGUUCCCUACCCCACCCCCCAGACUCCAAAUGUGACCCAGGGACCAAUCAUACUUCCUUAGAGCCCCCCCCCCUCAGGACCCCAAAACUGACACUUAAAACUCUCUCACCUCCCUAUAGAUCUUCCAGGACCCCAAAACUGAUGUUGGGGCCUCUCGCAGCUCUUUAUAGAUCUCUUAAGAUGCCAGAAUGGACCCUGGGAUCCCCCCGUAGCUCCCUAUCCCUGCACCAGACCCCAAAAGCGACCUUGGGGCUCCCCUACAGCUCCUUAUAGACCUCCCCCAGGACCCCACAAGUGAACCUGGAACCCCCCACCCCCACCCCACAGCUCCUUGACCCACAGGGACCCCAGCACUGACCCCCAGCCCUCCCCUUGCAUCCACUGGGACCCCCAUGUGCACCCUUUGUGCCCUUGACCUCCCAGUUUUUGGGGUAACUCUUUGCUUUCUUUUCCCUCCCCAGGGGCAAAAUUACCAAGACGAAAUUCUGGUGAGUUGAAGAAAUGGGGGCACACUGUGCCCCCCCAUCCCCAAAUCCACACAGCCAACAGCAUCCGUGUGCCCCCAACUCAUCAUUCCCCCACUGUACCUCCAUAACGCCCCCAAAUCCUCCAGUGUACCCCAAACCACCCCCGAUAUUGCCCCCAAAUCCUGCUGUUGUACCCCAAACUACCGCUGUUAUACCCCCAAAUUCCCCAUAUACCCCAAAACUCAGUCAUGGUGCCCCCACAUCCCCCUUGUGUAUCUCAACCCAUCCCUAUAAAUACCCAAUUCCCCCUAUCUACUCCAAACCACCCCUAUAAUCCCCCCCAAUCCCCUGAUAAUACCCCCAAACCACCCCAAUAAUCCCCCCAGGUCCCUGAUAAUACCCCAAACCAUCCCAUAAACCCCCACAUCCCCCCAUAUACCCGCAACCACCCCCACAUCCCCUCGAUAUACCCCAAACCACCCCGAUAAUCCCUCAAUUCCCCUGGUAACACCCCAAACCACCCCCAUAAACCCCCAGAUUCCCCCAAUAUCCCCCGAACCACCCCGAUAAUCCCCCUAGUUCCCCUGAUAACACCCCAACCCACCCCCAUCACCCCCCAGAUCCCCCCAUAUACCCGCAACCACCCCCACAUCCCCUCGAUAUACCCCAAACCACCCCGAUAAUCCCUCAAAUUCCCCUGGUAACACCCCAAACCACCCCCAUAAGCCCCCAGAUUCCCCCAGUAUCCCACGAACCACCCCAAUAAUCCCCCCAGUUCCCCUGAUAACACCCCAAACCACCCCCAUAAACCCCCAGAUUCCCCCAUAUACCCGCAACCACCCCCACAUCCCCUCGAUAUACCCCAAACCACCCCGAUAAUCCCCCAAUUUCCCCUGGUAAUACCCCAAACCACCCCCAUAAACCCCCACCUCCCCCAUAUACCCGCAACCACCCACACAUCCCCUCGAUAUACCCCAAACCACCCCGAUAAUCCCCCCAGUUUCCCUGGUAAUACCCCAAACCACCCCAUAAACCCCCACCUCCCCCCAUAUACCCACAACCACCCCCACAUCCCCUCAAUAUACCCCAAACCACCCCAAUAAUCCCCCCAGUUCCCCUGAUAAUACCCCAAACCACCCCCAUAAACCCCCCAGAUUCCCCCAACAUCCCCCGAACCACCCCAUAAUCCCCCCAGUUCCCCUGAUAACACCCCAACCCACCCCCAUCACCCCCCAGAUCCCCCCAUAUACCCGCAACCACCCCCACAUCCCCUCGAUAUACCCCAAACCACCCCGAUAAUCCCUCAAAUUCCCCUGAUAACACCCCAAAUCACCCCCAUCACCCCCCAGAUCCCCCCAUAUACCCGCAACCACCCCCACAUCCCCUCGAUAUACCCCAAACCACCCCGAUAAUCCCCCAAAUUCCCCUGGUAAUACCCCAAACCACCCCCUUAAACCCCCACCUCCCCCCAUAUACCCGCAACCACCCCCACAUCCCCUCGAUAUACCCCACACCACCCCGAUAAUCCCCCAAUUUCCCCUGGUAAUACCCCAAACCACCCCCAUCACCCCCCACCUCCCCCAUAUACCCACAACCACCCCCAGAUCCCCUCGAUCCCCCCGAAUCCCCCCCCCCAAAUCACCUCAUCCUCCCCUCCAGGCGCCGUCUGCGCCGCCUGAACCGGGUGCUGCGCCGGCGGUGCCGCGGGGCGGUGAAAUCCGUCUCCUUCUACUGGACUGUGCUGCUCCUCGUCUUCCUCAACACCCUCACCAUCGCCUCCGAGCACCACGGGCAGCCCCAGUGGCUCACCGAGACGCAAGGUAUGGGCUCACCGUGUCACCCUCGCACUCCUUGUCCCCAUUGCUGUGUCGGCCCGUCGCUGCGUUGUCCCCUGUCCUCUUCAUGGAGGUGACAGGUGGCUCUGUGUCACCCCACGGUUGUCCCCAACACCGUGUUGUCCUCCCAUCCCCGUUGCUGUGUCAUCCCUGCCACCCUCUCACUUUUGUCACCUUCUUGUCCCUGUCACCACGCUGUCCCUGUCACCAUGUUGUCACUGAUGGUCUCCAUGUUGUCACUGAUGGAUCACUGAGGGUGAUCUCCUCCUUGUCACCUUCUCAUCUCCGCCACCCCCUUGUCCUUGUCACCUUCUUGUCCCUGGCACCACCUCAUCCCCAUCACUCUCUUGCUGCUGUCACUCUCUCAUCCCUGUCACGAUGUUAUCCUGAUCACCCUCUCCUCCCUGUCACCCUCUCAUCUGUCCUGUCACCCCCUUGUCCCUGUCACCAUGUCAUCCUUGUCACCCUCUCCUCCCUGUCACCCUCUCAUCCUUGUCACCCUCCCAUCCCUGCCAGCAUGUAAUCCUUGUCACCCUCUCAUCUCUGUCACCCUCUCAUCCCUGUCACCCUUUCAUCCUUGUCACCCUCCCAUCCCUACCAUCAUGUAAUCCCUGUCACCCUCUCUGUCCUGUCACCCCCUUGUCCCUGUCACGACGUCAUCCUUGUCACCCUCUCUUCCCUGUCACCCUCUCUUCCCUGUCACCCCGUUGUCCCUGUCACCCUGUUGUCCCUGUCACCCCUUUGUCCCUGUCACCACGUCAUCCCUGUCACCCUCUCCUCCCUGUCACCCUCUCAUCCUUGUCACCCUCUCAUCCCUGCCAUCAUGUAAUCCUGUCACCCUCUCAUCUGUCCUGUCACCCCCUUGUCCCUGUCACCAUGUCAUCCUUGUCACCCUCUCAUCCUUGUCACCCUCCCAUCCCUGCCAGCAUGUAAUCCCUGUCACCCUCUCCUCCCUGUCACCCUCUCUGUCCUGUCACCCCCCUUGUCCCUGUCACCCUCUCAUCCCUGUCACCCUCUCAUCCCUGCCAUCAUGUAAUCCCUGUCACCCUCUCCUCCCUGUCACCCUCUCAUCUGUCCUGUCACCCCCUUGUCCCUGUCACCGACCGUCAUCCUUGUCACCCUCCCAUCCCUGCCAGCAUG